rfam:Ovis aries breed Texel chromosome 6, whole genome shotgun sequence.
UCCCUGGUAGCUCAGUUGGUGAAGAACCUGCCUGCAAUGCAGAAAACCCAGGUUUGAUCCCUGGGUUGGGAA